AGCUUUUGUGCCUUUGAACUUAAGAGUUGCUGCAUAAAAGACUAUAAAUUAAUCCUCAUCAUUAUUGCUAUAUAAUCUAUACCAAAACACGAUAUAUAAUAGUAAUAAAAACACUAUAAAUUCCAUAAAUGACUAAAGAUCGUCCUCAUAAUAUUAUAGCAACACCAGGUUUCCUCUGCCAUUCAAUGGUGCACUCUGUUCACCUACCAUUUAAAUGGUUCAAUCAAUGCUUCAACAUCUUUCAGUUUUGACUUUUCAGCUCUUAACAACUUUCAGUUUUAGAUUUUCGUUUUGGCCUUUUUGCUUCUCUUUCUUUUGCUUCAUUUUUAAAUGUUACUCUUAUCUUGCACAUUAUUUUCUCAAAUUUAAUUUAUUUUCCAAAUCUCUAUGUAGCAUGCCAAUCUUGGGGUGUCAAUUUGCUUUGUGACUUGUAAAAUAUCAAAGCAGGCCUUGUCCAUUUCUAUUGGUAGAAAUUUAAGAAGGAUUGAUUUAGUGUAAAGCAUAAUGGAUGUUGUCAUUUAAUUUUCUACGAGUGUGAGAAAUAUAUUUCUAUAUGCUGUACAGCAUAAGUUGCAGUCUUGGAGUGCAGAAACAUGGCCACAUCGCUUCCCUAGCCUACGAAAGCACGACUUUAUAACACAAUUAGCAACCUUGUUUAAUUAAUGAAGCUAUAGGAGAGUUGAUUAUGCAAGCAAUCCAUGCAAAUAGCAAGGUCCCCCCUAAGAAACUGGCAUGGAGUUAUUAUAGCAAUCAAACCUUCUUCUCAUUUCACUAAUCCAUAAUGUCACUAGAUGAAUCAAAGAAAAAGACUUUUUCUAAGACUAGUUAGGCAUUUAAGGGGAAAGAUAGUCUGUACUAUAGUCUGCACUAUGCUUUUCUCAAAAGCAUUAUGGCUUCCAGUAGGUCUAAGUUCCUUUCAUAUGACUUUCAUGCUCAUAUUAUAUAGAAGAAAUGGGCAGCAUUUCUUAGGGAAAUAACUAUAAACUUCAUUGCCCACUCAUUUUCUAUAUAUUGGCGAUCUUCACAUACACAAACCCAUUUUCCAAAAUCAUUUCUUUCUUCUUUGCAGAAGAAUAUAUGCAAAUAUAAAGAGACCUAUAGCUAGGCAGGCAAACCUCUCUAUGGCAUGCUUAGAUUUGUGUUAAGUGGCUUAUUUAAACUUUUAAUGUAUCUUAUGUUAUUUUUUUAGUUAUAUUUUUAUCAUUAAUAAAAUUAAUAUGUAUAUAUUAAAUAAAAUUUAUUAGUUUUAGCAUUAAUAUGACUUUUUAUUUGCCUAUUAUAACAUGUAAAUAACAAUGAAGUAAAAGUUUAAUGUAUUUUAUUUAUAUUUUUUAAUGUAACAUGUUAUCAAACGCAACGUAUGUCGGUAGCUGAUGAUGGCUUGAGCAGUGGAGAGGACCAUUUUUCAAUUUUUAACUAUUCUUCAAAUUUCAUUUUCUUUUUUGUUCCAAUGAGGUUGAUGCCGUGGUGAGGUUUCUCCGCUUUGUUUAAGCAUAAUUGAUUCUUAAUUGGAAAUGGGAAAUAAUUAGAUUAAUUAGAUUAUGCUUUUUCAAUAUUUGUUAACUUGAU
rnacentral:misc_RNA from 1 species